ACCUUCACCAGCCUGCCUGUGUGAGACUGUUGGUCUGUGUGCCCAGCUCCCUGUGGCCUGUGUGUAUGUGCCAAAGCUAGCCAGUGUGUGGCUAUGUGAGGCAGGCCACCUGCCUCACCCAUGGACAAGGCCCCAGGUUCAAUCCCCCAGAGGAAACCACCAUCAAACAGAGGAAAAACCAAUCCUGUCUCUUCUGAGUCAUUCUCUUUCCUUCUAAGGGCACUGCCUGGGUCUUUUCUUGGGCUGGAAAAAUGCUCUGCUGAGAUGCAUAGAAACAAAAGAGCAGUUAGGUUCCUUAGAUUGGGUUCCAAAGGCCCACCGCUGCUACAGUACUCAGUUUUCCAGGCCCAGAGACAACUCUUAAGAAACAAAACCUGAAGAAGCCUGCUUAUACAGAAUUGGCAAGACCCGGACAAAGGAUGAAAAGGUGGUCACAGUGUUAAACAUUACAUGACGUUCAUUAGCAUGGUGAAAACAAACAACAAAUCAAAAAGGAGUCCAAGGGCCUGGCAGAAGAAUCAUAUCAGCAGUGCCACCUAUAGCCUGGAACUCAUUAUGUAGCUGAGGAUGGCCUUGAACUUCUGAACUUCCUGCCUUUACCCCCAGAGUACUAGAAUUACAGGUUUGAGCCUGGAUUAUGCUGUGCUGGGGUCAAGCCCAGGACUUAACUCCAUGCUAGCCAUCAAGUCCAAUUUGUGCUGCCCAAAUAUUCUUGGAUGUGUGGUCUUCCACUGGAGUGUGGUUGACUUACCAGGGGCAACAUUCUUAAAGACAGCUGGCUCUCCCUCUCCCUGCAGCUAUCAACAGCCAAUAUGCUCCUUAGCUGGGGCACCUGUGGCAACUGUGUAUCUGAUUUCAUGAACAGAAGAAUGACCCGGAGGAUAGCCAGAGAAGCUCAUGAGUCCAGCUAGCCUGGAGCCAUAUCAAUGAUGGCAUAAUCAUCAGAUUUCCAAAAUCUAGGGCCAGCUUCCAGCUUUACUUCCAGAUUCUUACCAGGAUGGCGAUGCAUCUCCUUUUUCAGCUCGUCAAGCUUGUGGGCUAUGUGAGCUGUGUGUGUGACAAUCCAGCACAGGGUCACAGCAGCACUGAUCUGGCUUGCAUUGUUCCAUAUAGUCACUGGAGCAGUGAAGCCAGAUGCUUCCAUUCAUAGAUCAUUUCUGCUGUCACCAGCAAUGCUGCCACAUAGAAUAUCUUUGGCAGAAGCAUUCUUGUGUUUUAUUUAAUAAAUGUUGUUCUUUGGCAAUUCUCUGUACAUAUGUAAUGCAUUCUCAUCACUCCCCACCCCCCAGCACAACACUCCCUCUAUUAUUCCCUCUAUCCCCUUCCCCUUCCAGCCUCUCUUCUUCUUCCUUAGUCUCUUUCCCACAUUCAUGACAUUUUGCUUUGUUUUGUGUUCCACAUAGUAUCAUUGGGGCCAUCUGUGUG
rnacentral:lncRNA from 1 species